UUACUUAAUAAGGAUGGUUGCCACUCACU
rnacentral:piRNA from 1 species